UCGAUAUGUGAUAUCAAAUUGGAAAUCCAAAUUGUCGAGAAUUGUCAGAUGUUGAUAAUUAUACAUCGCUGUUCAAUUUUAUGAAUAUUCUAAGAAAUUUGACAACCGCUUUAGGAUCGACUGGUGGCAACGAAGUAGCUACAAAAACCUAGAGUAAAGAAUGCACCACUUUUUUAUACUGCAUUAACAUAUAAUGUAUAUAAACAUGCUUUUUACUAUUUAGGGAGCUCCAAUGAAUACCACAGAAACAGUUGCAUAGAUGAGAAUACAAAGUGCACACAAACAAAUGGUAUCUGCGGCUUCGAAAAUGGCCCUUGUGGGAUGCAAAAUGAUGGGUGGAGAUACUACACACCAACCAACACAAGCACAAGAUAUGAUCGUUCAUUUUUAGAAGGAGGUGCCUACUACAUUGUAGACUUUGGUAUCGACAGAUCUACUACCAGCAAAUUAUCUUUGCAAUGGUUCAAAACAAAACAGUAUUGCAUGCAAUUUUGGUACAUUGUUCCUGACAAAUCUAACUCAUCAAUAAAAAUCUGCGCUGAAAAAAACAAUUCAACCAGCUGUCU